rnacentral:lncRNA from 1 species
CUCCAUUCAGAGCAAGUCCCCUUGUUAUCAAUGUCAGCUGGGCCUGAGUCAGGGUUUAGUGCAAGAUUGGAUGACAUGUAUCCUGGCUUCCAAAGGAAAAUGGCUGAGCUGUACUGUGCUUUCAGUGUUUCUGUUCCAUUCUUCCGGGAACAGAAUUUAUCUCACCAGGAUUGGCUUCCUCAGUGAAGACUCUUGAAGAAAGCUUGGGACCUAUUAGACAUUUGAGAACAGUUUUAAAUGUCAGUGUGGCCAUAUGGAAUAGAUGGGACAUGUGAAUUUGCAAUGUUUGUAGGAUACAUGUUGCCAAAAAAGGAAUCCAUAUAGGGGAUGUAACCACCAGUUCAUCUGUCUUAUUAAUUUGGUUAUUUCCUCUCUGUGGGUUCAGGUUUUCUCAUCUGUAUGAGAUAAAUAGUCAUGAAUAAACAAUAAAUAUUAGAUUUGAAAGAGCUCUUUGAGAUCAUCUUGUCUAACAGCUGCCAAAGUGUAUGUCACAAUGUAUCUAAAGGGUGUCAAUGGACAUUUCUCAGAAACAGAUUGAAGUCACAUACAUCUUGGUAGGAAUAACUUGAAGUUCCACAGGUUUUCUUACCUGAAGGGUGCUGCACAUCUCUUAGGAAUGGGUAUGGAUCACAUUCUCAUCUGAGCAUACUUAGCCAUGGUAAGGAUGGCUACUUUUAUCAAGAAAUAUCUCAUGGGACCAGUGCUGAGUGAAACAUAUUGAAUCUAGUCUAAUCUGCUCUUCCGGAUAAGGAAACUGGGGACCAGUGCAAAAAAAGAGAUUUGCCCAAGGUCACCCAGGUAAGUGCAUGCUAAGUCAGAACUAGAUGUCUAAUGUUCUGGCUCUGCUGCCAGGUAUGUUUUCCAUUAAUGAUGAAGAACAUUCCCUCCCAAGUCCCGUAGUUCUUGGAGGAUCCUAAUGAGAUAUAAAUGAGAAUGAUGAACAAAGUCUCAAGUAUAAGGUGUCUAUGUGAAUCUUUCCUCUAUUAAAGAGUUCCCAAUAAAAUGUGCUUUUAUAACCUAAUGCUUGCAGAACCUAGAAUCUAUCAGCAUUUAUUACAUGGUCAUGAUGUGCAUAUGCUUGGUCAGGCAGAAUACAUAAACAUAAGGGAGGGUUGCUCUCUGCCUUCCAGAAGCUGCACCAGCACUGGCAGACUCAUGCAGGAACUGGAGGGGCUUUCAAUUUGUUGUAUGACCUCAGUUUACUUCACCUCCCUGGUCUCCAGAUUCUUUUGUUGGUCAUUUGUUGGACAAUCCUUCCACUUAACUUUCUCAAAGGGAUUGACUAACAAUUCAAAACACUUACAAAAGCAGAACCUAUACAAAUGCUAAACAUCAUCCCUGUGAUCUACUAGUUAAUACGGAAUUAGAAGUGAAUGCAGCCCCUUUUAGCCCAGGAAACUCACGCUGAAACAAUACAUCUAAUAAACUGGGAGAAGAGAAGGCCCACAAAUUAAAAAGCAGCAUUUGAAAUCUAAUCAGAUAUUCUCUCAAUUUACAGACCACCCCUGUGGUGCUAUCCAACUUUAUUAGGAUUUUAUUCUGUAUUCUCUUUUAAAGUGACAUUUAUAUUAGUUUACAGUACUAACACAAAACUCUAUUAAAAAGGAAAGAACUUUUAUAACUUUAUUAUUUUUUCCUGGUUACUGUCCCUAAGUUUUCAAUCCACUAAUAAGGAUUCUUUUGUUUUAUUUCAUGUCUAGGAGAGAAGUUGUGAAGUCUCUUUAAGGCUGUAUUUCCUGCUGGGUUGUUAAACACAGUGGGGACACCCAACUUGGAGGGUAUGUGCUGUAAUUGGCUGUAAGGGCCAGGAAGUUGAACUUUCUCAUUCUUGUUCAGUCUCCUUUUAUCCUGGGUGUCUU